rnacentral:lncRNA from 1 species
CCCCUUUCAGGUAGGUAGACGGUUCGUGAAUGAGGUACAAAGCCCUUCAACCUCAGGAACGUAAAUGCAUGUGGAAUUGGUUUGAGACACAGUAAUGGCUUUGUGUGGAAAAGACCCAUUUUGACAAUAUCAGAAGUGAGGAACUGCAGAAAGGAAAAGCAGAGCAGUCAGAGGAUGCAUGUCCUCCAAUAUCUCCUGCCUUUUACAUAGCACAGCCUAGGUGAAACGCAUAUGCUCUAGGACUGUACUGCCCAGAAGAAGAGAGCUGAAGAGAGCUCAGCAAUAGGACUGCACAAUACAAAUGCAAUGCAGCUGUUUGUUCAUUACCUAAGGAAUUUAAGCUAUUCUUCCUCAGGGCCACACUAAAGCAUAGUUUCAGGGACAGGUCACUUUUAGGUAACCUUACCUCACUCUUCUUGUGUGUCCUGCAGCCUGAGCGAGAGCAGGGGACAGAACCUCAUGUAAAGCCAGGGCUGGAGGAGGAUGGCACGCAGCGCACCCACGCCCUCCUUGGCAGCCAGGGCUGAGUGCCUGCUAUCCUCUAGAGGGUGCUGCGGGCUCAGCCAGCCUGAAUCCCGGCUCUGACACAGGUGAGCGAUGCUGACUGUCAGCAGCUGUGAGCUGGAGUGGGUCCCACCGCCUGCGGGUCCUGCAGCCACAGCAGUGCAGGAGGAAGAGGAGGAGGAAGGUGCCCUCGGCUCCAUCACCUGUCAGCAUCCUUCUCCAUGCUCCUGUCUUGUCACCCAUCCUCUCCCCAGCACUUGCAGGCCGUAUCUGUGUGACAUCAAUUGUGCUGGGUAAUUUUAGGCCAGCUGCAUCUCAACUCUUACACUAGCUGAUGUUACGGACAGAAAAGAGAGAAAAUCAAAGCUGAAAGAGAGCCAGAGCAUUUCAGGAGCCCAAAUCCUAUUUUCCAUAGCAGUGUGGGUUUCAGCAGUCUGACAGCCAUCAACUUGCAGCCAGACUAGCUCUUAACACUCAGUUUUGCAGAGGAACAGCCUAAUUCCCCUUCAGCAAACAGCCUGUGUCAGCUACAUUGCUUGCAGAACUCCCACUUUGCUGUGUGUGUCAUUUAGGUGUGCAACUGCUCAUAAAUCACCAAGUCCACCUAUGCAGAGAAUACUGGAUUUUCUGUUGGGAUAUGCCUUUCUUACUUCCUAACUGAGUAAAGCACUGAAUUCUUCUGUAACAUCUAAAUAACCUAGAGAUGUUUUGCAGAGGGGAAGCAUCCUGGUAGAUUGGAGGUAUUAACCUUAUGGAGG